rnacentral:rRNA from 1 species
UACGGAGGGUGCAAGCGUUGCUCGGAAUUAUUGGGCGUAAAGGGUAGGUAGGUGGUCUCAUUUGUCUGGGGUGAAAGCCUUGGGCUUAACUCAAGAAGUGCCUCAGAAACGGUGAGACUGGAGUCCUGGAGAGGGUCGUGGAAUUCCCGGUGUAGCGGUGAAAUGCGUAGAGAUCGGGAGGAACACCAGAGGCGAAAGCGGCGACCUGGACAGGUACUGACACUCAACUACGAAAGCGUGGGGAGCAGACAGG